CGGUGUGGCUCAAUGGCAGAGCAACGCACUCGUAACGCGUAGGUUGGAAGUUCGAUUCUUCUCAUCGGC
rnacentral:tRNA from 1 species